GAGUUUGAUUAUGGCUCAGAACGAACGCUGGCGGCGCGUCUUAAGCAUGCAAGUCGAACGGUAAGGGAGAGCUUGCUCUCCCCUAGAGUGGCGGACUGGUGAGUAACGCGUAGGUGACCUACCCUGAAGAUGGGGAUAGCUAGUAGAAAUAUUAGAUAAUACCGAAUAAGCUCAUUUGCAUAAAGGCAGAUGAGGAAAGGAGCUACGGCUCCGCUUUAGGAUGGGCCUGCGUCCCAUUAGCUAAGUUGGUGAGGUAAAGGCUUACCAAGGCAACGAUGGGUAUCCGGCCUGAGAGGGUGAACGGACACAUUGGGACUGAGAUACGGCCCAAACUCCUACGGGAGGCAGCAGCUAAGAAUCUUCCGCAAUGGACGAAAGUCUGACGGAGCGACGCCGUGUGAAUGAAGAAGGCUGAAAAGUUGUAAAAUUCUUUUGCAGAUGAAGAAUAAGGAUAGGAGGGAAUGCCUAUCUGAUGA
rnacentral:rRNA from 1 species